GCAGUCGAGCGAAUGGAUUAAGAGCUUGCUCUUAUGAAGUUAGCGGCGGACGGGUGCAGUAACACGUGGGUAACCUGCCCAUAAGACUGGGAUAACUCCGGGAAACCGGGGCUAAUACCGGAUAACAUUUUGAACCGCAUGGUUCGAAAUUGAAAGGCGGCUUCGGCUGUCACUUAUGGAUGGACCCGCGUCGCAUUAGCUAGUUGGUGAGGUAACGGCUCACCAAGGCAACGAUGCGUAGCCGACCUGAGAGGGUGAUCGGCCACACUGGGACUGAGACACGGCCCAGACUCCUACGGGAGGCAGCAGUAGGGAAUCUUCCGCAAUGGACGAAAGUCUGACGGAGCAACGCCGCGUGAGUGAUGAAGGCUUUCGGGUCGUAAAACUCUGUUGUUAGGGAAGAACAAGUGCUAGUUGAAUAAGCUGGCACCUUGACGGUACCUAACCAGAAAGCCACGGCUAACUACGUGCCAGCAGCCGCGGUAAUACGUAGGUGGCAAGCGUUAUCCGGAAUUAUUGGGCGUAAAGCGCGCGCAGGUGGUUUCUUAAGUCUGAUGUGAAAGCCCACGGCUCAACCGUGGAGGGUCAUUGGAAACUGGGAGACUUGAGUGCAGAAGAGGAAAGUGGAAUUCCAUGUGUAGCGGUGAAAUGCGUAGAGAUAUGGAGGAACACCAGUGGCGAAGGCGACUUUCCUGGUCUGUAACUGACACUGAGGCGCGAAAGCCGUG
rnacentral:rRNA from 1 species